rnacentral:lncRNA from 1 species
CUGGAAUUUCUGAUCCUUUGCUGGUCUUCGAGAUAUGAAGCAUGCUAUAUUUAGCAGUUAAAGUCUUUUCAGUUAAGGAUGAUGAAUUUCUGAAAAAUCUGACAAAAGUUAAUGCAACUUUUCCAACUUACAUUGUAGGACUGCUGAUAUAAGUCGUGGAUAUACCACCUGGAACAUUUAUUUCCUAUACAAAAGGACUUAUUUGCAGUCAAAACCCGUGCACAGGAUUGGAAAAAGUGAUACAUAGACAUGCUCCCAACUUCAGCUGAAGACAAGAAGUAAAAAAAAUGCCUGUGGUGACAGAAUAGAAGAAAGGACCUCUGAAGAUGACAUGCUGCAAGUAAGAAGUAUGAAGUGGAACAUAAACUGGCAAUAGCAGCUGAAGUUAUGGAGCACCCAAAACUUAUAGAACAUGAAAAAAUGGACAAGAUUUAUAUAUUUCAUUCAGUCAUUAUAUGGCCUAUUUUUGGUAUUGUCAUAUACCAUAGGCUUUAAACUCAAACUACAAGAGAAUAUCAGCAGCAGCUAUUCCAAUUGGUCCAGUAAACUAUACAACUUCUCCCUAAGAAAUCUGCUUAUUAACCAACAAAAUUGGAUACUUCGAGAGUCAAAAUCCUUCCUGACAAUUCCCCGCCUGCCCUGCCAUCCUCCUGGCUGGGCACGGGUCCCGUGUCCUCUGUUAUGCAGAGAAUCAGCCCUCCAAGGCCUCCCCCAGCAUCCAGAGCUCCUGUGCAGCUCACACUGGAGCUGCUCAUCGCUCUCUGGGUAAUUCCAGCAGAGGAAGAUUGCAACCAUCAAUUCAAGAAACUCACCCACUCAAAGGAAGAGAAAGACAUGAAGGAAGAGAGCAUGGAACUAAUUAGCAUGAGAAGUGAGAGGAUCAUUCAACCAGUAGAAAACUAAUUAAUAAGGAAACUAGAUAACUUUGUAGCUAAUGAACCGUGAUUUUUUUUUUUUUUUUUUUUUUUUUUUUUUGUUGGAAUGUAUGAAGUGCAAAGUUUUGAGAAUCAGCAUGCGAGUUUUGUGGAUUUAGCAACUAGU